rnacentral:rRNA from 1 species
AGUGAACGCUGGCGGUAGGCCUAACACAUGCAAGUCGAACGGCAGCACAGUAAGAGCUUGCUCUUACGGGUGGCGAGUGGCGGACGGGUGAUGAAUACAUCGGAAUCUACUUUUUCUUGGGGGAUAACGUAGGGAAACUUACGCUAAUACCGCAUACGACCUACGGGUGAAAGCAGGGGAUCUUCGGACCUUGCGCGAUUGAAUGAGCCGAUGUCGGAUUAGCUAGUUGGCGGGGUAAAGGCCCACCAAGGCGACGAUCCGUAGCUGGUCUGAGAGGAUGAUCAGCCACACUGGAACUGAGACACGGUCCAGACUCCUACGGGAGGCAGCAGUGGGGAAUAUUGGACAAUGGGCGCAAGCCUGAUCCAGCCAUACCGCGUGGGUGAAGAAGGCCUUCGGGUUGUAAAGCACUUUUGUUGGGAAAGAAAAGCAGCAGGUUAAUACCCCGCUGCUCUGACGGUACCAAAAGAAUAAGCACCGGCUAACUUCGUG